UACGUAGGGGGCGAGCGUUGUCCGGAUUUAUUGGGCGUAAAGGGUACGCAGGCGGCCAUGUAAAUCAGGUGUGAAAUUCUAUAGCUUAACUAUAGUAAACACUUGAAACUGUGUGGCUUGAGUUAAGGAGAGGAAAAUGGAAUUCCUAGUGUAGCAGUGAAAUGCGUAGAUAUUAGGAGGAAUACCAGUAGCGAAGGCGACUUUCUGGACUUAUACUGACGCUGAGGUACGAAAGCGUGGGGAGCAAACAGG
rnacentral:rRNA from 1 species